UAAUCCUUUUUUAUAUUAUUCUUCAAUAUUUCAUCUUUCGCUUCUCUCUCAUCUUUAAGUGCCUUUUUUUCUUCUGAAAUUGAAAAAACUUAUACCAAAAGAUAUUCACAACAAUCCUAUUGAUUCAGGGAACUGGCUUUGCGUGCAAAGAUCCACCUAAGAAUGCUCCUCACAUGCAGUGCUACGCUACACGUUAACAAUGAAAUUAAAUAUCAUUUGACUUGACUGAUACUAUUUACGAGCAUCAGUAUAAAUUAUUUUGUGAAAAAAUAUUAUUUGAGAAUAA